rnacentral:rRNA from 1 species
UUGCAAGUCGACCAAAGGCGAAAGCAGUCAUCAAGGGCAUUCCCGUUGAUCAAGAGCGAAAGUUAAGGGUUCGAAGACGAUCAGAUACCGUCGUAGUCUUAACUAUAAAUGAUACUGACUAGGGAUAGGACUCUGUCCAUCUCGACUUCUCCCGGACCUUAGAGAAAUCAAAGUCUUUGAGUUCCGGGGGGAGUAUGGUCGCAAGGCUGAAACUUAAAGGAAUUGACGGAAGGGCACACAAAGAGUGGAACCUGCGGCUUAAUUUGACUCAACACGGGAAAACUCACCAGGUCCAGAUACGCGUAUGAAGGACAAGCUGAAAGACUUUUCUCAAUGACGUAAGUGGUGGUGCAUGGUCGUUCUUAGUUCGUGGAGUGAUUUGUCUGGUUUAUUCCGAUAACGAGCGAGACCCCGGCGUUCCUAAUAGGGGCGGAAGCCCGGCUCGCGGCCCUCGGGUCGCUUGCUAGCAUCCGCCUCGCAAUCGCUUCUUAGACGGAUCAGAGCCGAUAAGGUUCUUGAAAUGGGUUAAUAACAGGUCAGUCAUGCCCUUAGAUGUUCUGGGCCGCACGCGCGUUACAAUGGUAGGCUUAAAGAGUGCCUUUUGCGGGCGUUUCCGCGGCCGACGGGUCGCGGUAACCCCUAGUCUCUCCCUUGACUGGGCCAGACUAUUGCAAUUAUUGGUCUCAAACGAGAAUUUUAG